UACGUAGGGCGCGAGCGUUGUCCGGAUUUAUUGGGCGUAAAGAGCUCGUAGGCGGCUUGUCGCGUCGGCUGUGAAAACUUGGGGCUCAACCCCAAGCUUGCAGUCGAUACGGGCAGGCUAGAGUCCGGAAGGGGCGAGUGGAACUCCUGGUGUAGCGGUGAAAUGCGCAGAUAUCAGGAAGAACACCAAUGGCGAAGGCAGCUCGCUAGGACGGUACUGACGCUGAGGCGCGAAAGCGUGGGGAGCAAACAGG
rnacentral:rRNA from 1 species